UGGGGAAUAUUGGACAAUGGGCGAAAGCCUGAUCCAGCCAUGCCGCGUGUGUGAAGAAGGUCUUCGGAUUGUAAAGCACUUUAAGUUGGGAGGAAGGGCAGUAAGCGAAUACCUUGCUGUUUUGACGUUACCGACAGAAUAAGCACCGGCUAACUCUGUGCCAGCAGCCGCGGUAAUACAGAGGGUGCAAGCGUUAAUCGGAAUUACUGGGCGUAAAGCGCGCGUAGGUGGUUCGUUAAGUUGAAUGUGAAAGCCCCGGGCUCAACCUGGGAACUGCAUCCAAAACUGGCGAGCUAGAGUAGGGCAGAGGGUGGUGGAACUGCCUGUGUAGCGGUGAAAUGCGUAGAUAUAGGAAGGAACACCAGUGGCGAAGGCGACCACCUGGGCUCAUACUGACACUGAGGUGCGAAAGCGUGGGGAGCAAACAGG
rnacentral:rRNA from 1 species